CUAUGCAGCACAAUAUCGCCUCUGUCCUGAAGAGACUGGAGAUUUUAAUCCCAAAAUAGACAUUUCAACAAAAUUACUUUUUUUUUUUAAUUUUUUUUUUAAAUUUUUUGAAAGCCUUUGAGAGCUGCUGCUUUCAUUUCAGGCACAGGGAACUCAUCCCGAAACCUCCGGAGCUGCCGUGAAAUGGGAGCGUCGCCCGCCGGGGAGCUCCGGCGCCCGUGUGCCUUCCAGCAGCCCUCAUCCCAGAAUCCCAGAUCCUCAUCCCAUCCUGGCACGUGAUGAUGAUGCAGUGCCACGCCUGAACACUGGGAAGUUGGCUGAAAUCCCUGUUUAGCAGCACAGGCAGCUCUGUGAUGGUUUUCAGUGCUCAGGGUUGUGACUCUAAGCCCAGGCAGCAAUGCCUGGCAAAUAACCCACAAGGCCUGGCUCGCUUUUUCUCAUUUUCUUACUUUUAAUUUAUUUAUUUAUUUCAAAUUUUAUUAUAGAUUUUAUUUUUUUUAUUAUAGAUUUUACCUAUUUUAUUACACACUACUUUUAAUUUUUUUAUUUAUUUUUAUUUCCUUCUCCUUGCCAACCUAUCUCACUUUACAUUUUGCUUCCGUUCCCCUGCCCACAAAAUACAGUCCAAGCCUCCAGACUCUCCAGCAGCCGUUCCAGAUCCAGGCUUUGAGGGGGGAAUGGCUUCCAAUUGACAGAGGAACAGCAAGCUGCUCUCUCUCCCAGCCCUGGUGUUUUGUCCUCAUGGGUGCAGCUGAUGUGAUGUCAAGGACACCACGGUUUCCUCAGCUGGCUGAACCCGGCCCGGAGCAGCACUUGGCCAUCAUUCAGGGACAGGGUGUGGAGUGGGAUGCUCCCUGUCCCGGGAGGCAAAUCAAAACCUCAAACCCCCAAAAUAUAAGGAAAGCAGAAACCUGGAUUUUAUCGUUAACACUGUUGUGUACAAGAUCUUAAGGCAGAUACCUGCUGCUCUGAUUUAACACCUGCCUGGCUUCCCUUAGAGUGUUUCCUGGGGUUGAAUUUAUUUUCAGAGCACUUCAGGCUCCCUUUUCCCGCUGUUUCCAGCUACUGAGGUCUAUGACCAUCCCUGUUGGAUCUAUCUGCUCCACACGUGGCUCUGCUGGUGGGAAUAGGAUCACAGAAUAUCCAGAGCUGGAAGGGACCCACAAGGACCAUCAAGUCCAGUUCCUGAUCCUGCACAGGACCCCCCAAGGAUGCCAUUGUGAGAGGUGCCAAAGCUGGUCCUCCACCACUCUCCUCUCGACACACCCGACUCCAGGAGGUGACCCAAAGGAGAAGAGCAGCUUCUGAUUCAUCAGCUGCUACCGAGGGCUGCCAGGAACCCUGGGGCCACUUUGAUGUGCAGAGGAGAGCAGGGUGUGCAUCCCAUGGUUUGAGCUGGGAUGUGGGAUCAGGUGUGACACAACGUGACACGGACCUGCCGGAUGUUGACGUUCCCCUAAACUCAUUCGCAGUUUUUUUUGGAUUUUCCUGCCUGGGAUUUCACUCAGUUUGGAGGGGGUAGGUGCCACACAGGGGGAAAAUCAUUCCCGAGCCUCCUGACCCAAAGGAGACAACAAGAAUUCACACGAUGGGGCCUGGAAAGGAGGAAGAGGAGGAUGAGCUGGCUCCAAAUGCUGUUUUACAGAGCGUGGUGGGGGGGCUGUGACCUGGAGAGAACCAGCAGGAACACCCCUGCCUACACCACAGUGCUGUGGGUGGCUGCACCAAGCUAGACCACCCUAAAUCCGAGGUUGGAAAGGACUGCCUGCAGAAGUUUGGAGCCCCGGGGAGGGGAACAGCGUGUGCCAGGCAGGCAGGUGGCAGCUUGGUGGCAAUUGCACAGUUGGGCAGCCUUGGAGGAGAGAGCCAGAAGGCCGAGUCAUUCCAGCACAGUGAGUACAGUUCAGCGCUGCCAUACGGCUCCUUCUGCAGAGGAGGAAGCGCGCAGGGAGCGAGGCAUCCCACUGCUUCUCCUCGAAAAUGAGCUUCCCCCUUCUCCUGCCAGCGCUGGAAAAACGCGGUGGUCGAAGGAGUCCUCGAUUUCAGGGCGCCGUGGGGAAUGCGGGAAUUCCUCGUGGAUGUUCUCUGCUCCUUUGCUCUGCCCCAAUCAGGCACCGGGAGGAAAAGAUCUUUAUCAAGGAUGGGUGAUAAACCCCUGCCGUGCCAGAUGGGGAGGGAGGGAGGGACAAGAAGAGGUUGCUGCUGGCCAAAGAGUGCCUUGACCUGUUAGGAACCACUGGAACCAGAAAAGCAGAUUUGAACAGUUUGAUUUCCUGCAGGGCUCUUGAUAGAAGUCGGGAGGGGAGUAGGCAAAUGUUUUCCAGCAAGAAAACAGUAGGAUUUUCUGCUUCAUUUAAUAAAUCCACUGCUUUUAUCCCCAGCCUGCCUUAACCCUUUCACCUCCACUAACAUCUCUGGUGUGGGGUUACUGGCACAGGUGGAAAACUGAUCUGCUGGCAGAAUUUUUGCUUCAGUGCUUCUCUCUCUGCAGAUGGAGAGUGAAAAGCAAAAAAUGGGCAAAAAUCAGAGCCUGGGUAGCAAGGCUUAGUCAUGGAUUUGGCAGUGCAAAGCCUGUCUCUUAUACACAUCUAGAUGUGUAUAAGAGACAGGCAGAGAGGAGAGCGUUUGUGGGAAGCUC
rnacentral:lncRNA from 13 species